UACGUAGGGGGCGAGCGUUGUCCGGAGUUACUGGGCGUAAAGCGCUUGUAGGCGGUCCACCAAGUUUGGGGUGACAGUUGCCAACUUAAUCGGCAAAGUGCCUCAAAGACUGGCGGACUUGAGGGCCACAGAGGGACAUGGAAUCCAGGUGUAGUGGUGAAAUGCGUAGAUAUCUGGAAGAACACCAAAGGCGAAGGCAGUGUCCUGGGUGGUCGCUGACGCUGAGAGGCGAAAGCCAGGGGAGCGAACGGG
rnacentral:rRNA from 1 species